GCACCAGUGGCGUAAUUGGAUAGCGCAAUGCCUUCCUAAGGCAAAGGUUAUGGGUUCGAGUCCCAUCUGGUGUAAU
rnacentral:tRNA from 1 species